rnacentral:rRNA from 1 species
AGCUUUCUGCUUCGUAGGUGACCUGCGGAGGAUCAUUACCGAGUGAGGGCCCUCUGGGUCCAACCUCCCACCCGUGUUUAUUUUACCUUGUUGCUUCGGCGGGCCCGCCUUAACUGGCCGCCGGGGGGCUUACGCCCCCGGGCCCGCGCCCGCCGAAGACACCCUCGAACUCUGUCUGAAGAUUGUAGUCUGAGUGAAAAUAUAAAUUAUUUAAAACUUUCAACAACGGAUCUCUUGGUUCCGGCAUCGAUGAAGAACGCAGCGAAAUGCGAUACGUAAUGUGAAUUGCAAAUUCAGUGAAUCAUCGAGUCUUUGAACGCACAUUGCGCCCCCUGGUAUUCCGGGGGGCAUGCCUGUCCGAGCGUCAUUUCUGCCCUCAAGCACGGCUUGUGUGUUGGGCCCCGUCCUCCGAUCCCGGGGGACGGGCCCGAAAGGCAGCGGCGGCACCGCGUCCGGUCCUCGAGCGUAUGGGGCUUUGUCACCCGCUCUGUAGGCCCGGCCGGCGCUUGCCGAUCAACCCAAAUUUUUAUCCAGGUUGACCUCGGAUCAGGUAGGGAUACCCGCUGAACUUAAGCAUAUCAAAAGCCCGGAGGAAA